rnacentral:rRNA from 1 species
AGUGAACGCUGGCGCUAGGCCUAACACAUGCAAGUCGAACGGCAGCACAGUAAGAGCUUGCUCUUACGGGUGGCGAGUGGCGGACGGGUGAGGAAUACAUCGGAAUCUACUUUUUCGUGGGGGAUAACGUAGGGAAACUUACGCUAAUACCGCAUACGACCUACGGGUGAAAGCAGGGGAUCUUCGGACCUUGCGCGAUUGAGUGAGCCGAUGUCGGAUUAGCUAGUUGGCGGGGUAAAGGCCCACCAAGGCGACGAUCCGUAGCUGGUCUGAGAGGAUGAUCAGCCACACUGGAACUGAGACACGGUCCAGACUCCUACGGGAGGCAGCAGUGGGGAAUAUUGGACAAUGGGCGCAAGCCUGAUCCAGCCAUACCGCGUGGGUGAGGAAGGCCUUCGGGUUGUAAAGCCCUUUUGUUGGGAAAGAAAAGCAGCAGGUUAAUACCCCGCUGUUCUGACGGUACCCAAAGAAUAAGCACCGGCUAACUUCGUG